CUGCCCUCAAGCCCGGCUUGUGUGUUGGGCCCCGUCCCCCGAUCCCGGGGGACAGGCCCGAAAGGCAGCGGCGGCACCGCGUCCGGUCCUCGAGCGUAUGGGGCUUUGUCACCCGCUCUGUAGGCCCGGCCGGCGCCUGCCACCAACCCAAAUUUUUUAUCCA
rnacentral:misc_RNA from 1 species